rnacentral:rRNA from 1 species
AUUGAACGCUGGCGACAGGCCUAACACAUGCAAGUCGAGCGGAUGAAGGGAGCUUGCUCCUGGAUUCAGCGGCGGACGGGUGAGUAAUGCCUAGGAAUCUGCCUGGUAGUGGGGGAUAACGUCCGGAAACGGGCGCUAAUACCGCAUACGUCCUGAGGGAGAAAGUGGGGGAUCUUCGGACCUCACGCUAUCAGAUGAGCCUAGGUCGGAUUAGCUAGUUGGUGGGGUAAAGGCCUACCAAGGCGACGAUCCGUAACUGGUCUGAGAGGAUGAUCAGUCACACUGGAACUGAGACACGGUCCAGACUCCUACGGGAGGCAGCAGUGGGGAAUAUUGGACAAUGGGCGAAAGCCUGAUCCAGCCAUGCCGCGUGUGUGAAGAAGGUCUUCGGAUUGUAAAGCACUUUAAGUUGGGAGGAAGGGCAGUAAGUUAAUACCUUGCUGUUUUGACGUUACCAACAGAAUAAGCACCGGCUAACUUCG